rnacentral:rRNA from 1 species
UACGGGGGGGGCAAGGCGUUGUUCGGAAUUACUGGGCGUGAAAGGGCGCAGGUAGGCGGCCUGCGUAAGUCGGGUACGUGAAAUCCCUCGGCUACAACCGGGGGAACUGCGUCCGAUACUGACGAGGCUUGAAUCCGGGAGAGGGAUGAUGGAAUUCCAGGUGAUAGCGGUGAAAUGCGUAGAUAUCUGGGAAGGAACACCAGUGGCGAAGGCGGCAUCCUGGACCGGCAUUGACGCUGAGGGCGCGAAAAGCUGAGGGUAGCAAACGGG